GCCGAGGUCCUCUUCUAGGAUUGGUUGUCCACUCAUAACCAUAAGAUAAUUAAAACGGGGGGGGGCAGGGUAAAAAAAAAACCCUUUUAUCAGCCAUAGGUUAAUGCAAGUGUUUAACAGAUGCUUCGCUAUUAAAAUAUUUCCCCCCAAUACUGAAGAAUCUUAAACCAGCAACCCUAACAGAGAUUGCGAAGAUUUUCAAAGUGGGGCACCUCGAUUUCUCGAAUCUGUGGUGUGGCGAAUAUCCGUGUUCCUCCUGCUUAACUAGCCUGUUUGAAGGCACAGUUCAUUCUCGAGCAAUUCGUCACCUCCUGGGGGUCUUCUCUUCCCGUCUACAGGAGAGUGUGACUUCAGAAAGAACUUCGGAUUGGCCAAGGCCAUUAAAGCUGGUGAGCGACUUGGAAGUCAUUUAGAAAGGAACAGACCUUCAACCUCAAGCCUUUGCGGGCACUGGGAAAGUGUCUUCCCAAUCAAUCUGGCUUGCAGGCGGCAGGACCAACUCUGACCUGGCUUAUCUUGUACCCAUCCUAAAUACACCAAACUCAAGAGGUAGCCAGGGCCGCCUCAACACCGAGGUCUGAUUCUAUUUAUUCUAAAGACAGAGUUGGAGAUGGGCUACCAUUGGUGUUGAUUGAGAUGACAAGCAGUCACCUGAGCCCAUACAGCUGUGGGAGAAAGUGCUUGCUGCCAAGCUUGAUGACCUAAAUUGAAUACCUGGAACCUACACGACAGAAAGAGAGAGCUGACUGCUGAAAGAUGUCCUCAGAUCUUCACAUGUGCACAGUGGCACCUAUCCAACCAUGCACAUAGUAUAUUAAAAAUUAUUUUUUAAAAAAUCCA
rnacentral:lncRNA from 1 species